GAUGAACGCUGGCGGCGUGCCUAAUACAUGCAAGUCGAGCGAACAGAUGAGGAGCUUGCUCCUCUGACGUUAGCGGCGGACGGGUGAGUAACACGUGGAUAACCUACCUAUAAGACUGGGAUAACUUCGGGAAACCGGAGCUAAUACCGGAUAAUAUAUUGAACCGCAUGGUUCAAUAGUGAAAGACGGUUUUGCUGUCACUUAUAGAUGGAUCCGCGCCGCAUUAGCUAGUUGGUAAGGUAACGGCUUACCAAGGCAACGAUGCGUAGCCGACCUGAGAGGGUGAUCGGCCACGCUAGAACUGAGACACGGUCCAGACUCCUACGGGAGGCAGCAGUAGGGAAUCUUCCGCAAUGGGCGAAAGCCUGACGGAGCCACGCCGGGUGAGUGAUGAAAGUCUUCGGAUCGUAAAACUCUGUUAUUUGGGAAGAACAAAUGUGUAAGUAACUAUGCACGUCUUGACGGUACCUAAUCAGAAAGCCACGGCUAACUACGUG
rnacentral:rRNA from 1 species